ACAGGAACAAAAUUCCCUGGGGAAAAUAAAAGAUUUCAAAACCAGCUGUAGAAUAAUAGAUUUCUGGUUCUGGAGAACUCUGUCCCUGGUGGAAAGAGUAUUGUCAGAUGAGAAGAGAUCUGCCACCUAACACCAUGCACCAUGGGGACAUGAGAGAUUCCAGGACGUGUCCCUCACUGGAUUCCAGGCCGUGUCUAUCACUGGAUCUCAGGACAUGUCCCGCACUGGAUCCCAGGAUGUGUCCUUCACUGGAUCCCAGAAUGUGUCCUUCACUGGGUCCCAGGAUAUGUUCAUCGCUGGGUCCCAGAAUGUGUCCAUUGCUAAUCCCUGUCCUAAUGUGAAUUGCUCAAUCUGCCAGGCCAGGAACAUAGCCUGAGAAAGGAGCAAAGAACCUGACAUUUUCAGAACCAUUUGCUCACCAGGGCCUUAGCCUCCUGCCAUUGCUGCUGAGAGCUUGAGGUCCACCCGCAGCCACAAUCCAGUGGGCGAAUGUACCUGUCACUCACAAAGCUGGUCACUCCAGUUCCUCCAUCUACCCUCAGUUGAACCUGAAGGACAAAGAGCAGAAGGCGCGUGGAUUUGCAGACUAUUACCAACAAAUUCUCCACACCAUGGCGGAGCGUGUCCUCAGGCUACCUAAUAGUCCAACUUUACAGAGCUUUCUCUCUUAUUCUUCUGAGCUACUUACUGUGUUACACGGCCUUUGUUCUCAACCUCCAAAACCCUCUUCUCCGCCGUUGCUCAUCUUGCUCUUGUUCUAUUGCAGAAAUGGAUGCAAAUUAGGCCAGAACUUCAGGAAAUCUUCCUCACCCACUCUCCACCUGUCCUCCCACCCCAUGGCCCCCCUACACUCCUGGAACCCCCUGCUUUCCUCUGGAGCAAUCUCAGCAUUAUUUUCAUGGGUGGACAAGCCAUAGGGCUUUUAAACAUUACUCUCCUACCUCUAAGUCAGUUUGCUCAGCAGACAAACGCUCUCAUUUUCCCCAUCUUUAGGAGUGAAUUGAAACAAGAACAAAACCAAACUGAA